UGUUAUUGAUAUUUUAGUUUUAUUCGGAUAGAAACACUUAUUUUGGAUAUAUUGCAUUAAUUCCAAUCAACUAUCUGGAACAUAUGAAAGAGCUUGUUAGUUUUAGUGUUAAUAACAAAAUUAAUUCAAAGUAAAUAGAUAGGAAAGAAUACGUCUAAUAGAUUAAAUAAACUAAUUAGAGAUGGCUUCAUAAUAAUUGAAACUUAUGAAAUUCUAUUUAUAUAUUAGAAUUUAUGUCUUUUCACUUUUCUUUAGAUGACGAUAAUAAGGUGUUAAUGGAUUUGGAAGUUUUAGGGUGUACCAUGGAGUGAGAAUUUCUGAAAAUAUCGACGGACUUAAUCUGACGAAUCCACGGGCAAUUUAAUCGCGUAUAAAGUUUAAAAUAACUUCUAUACUUGAGUGUCUUGGAGAUUUCUGAAGGAACCUGUAAUCUUGAUGAAUUUAAGGAGCUGGCAAUUUUCGCGAAGCUAAUUCUGCUCUUGAGAGAAGCACAACUUUUGCUCCAUUUCGUCAGUCUUAAACAAACACUUAUAGAAAUUGUUCUAUUUCUUUCUUAGUUAAUUUAUAUUAGAUUAAUUGAAAUAAUUUGUUUUAGAACAUUUGAAGAUUACAAGGAAAAACACAUGUCUUCAUUGUAUCAUGGUAAUGCUAUAGUUUCAUUGAUCUUGAUGUUAUUCAGUGAUUAAAAGGAUAUACUUUGAUAUAAUAUAAUUAAAGAUAGGAAAAACCCAAUUAGUCUAAAGGUAUAACUGAUUAAAAAUAUCAAGCCCAUAAAGAUUUAUGAAAAAAUGAACUUACCAUAAUACUUUUGAGAAAUCAAUAUAUUUGAUGAUCUCACUCAUAACCAAUUUUAAUAAAAAUACAAAUUUGGUAAUAUACGUGAAUUGUUAACAAGAUAUGAGAUAUUAAAGUAGCUCUCAUAUGAAAAACAAAAAGUAUGACUUAUCACAGCUUUCCCCUGUAGUUUUCUUUUAUUAGAGGUGUCGCAUUUAGAAAAUGAAUUUAACAGUGUCAUAUCAGACAUUGGCGGAGCCCCGAGUCGCCAAAUGGACGAUAAUACGAACCAAUCGGCACGACGUACUUGAUGAACGUAAUAAUCGAUCGGUUGAGACGUUUGACACACUUUUCCAGCCAGACAACGAUUAAUUUUCGUCGAUGCAAAUCUGUACUAAGUGAUGUGGCGAAGGCGUUUUCGUGAAAAUGGCACAGGGCGAAGAGGAGAAUUGAUACGGUGUUGUUAGCUCGUGUGCGUGACGUGGAAAGCACACGCGAGCACACGCUCACGCUGCUCGCGUGUCAACUACCGUAACCCUCGAGUACAUCGGGGGUUUCACGAUGGACGGGGUCGCGGCUGAAAGGAAGGGGCUGAAAAAAGGUGUGAAUGCCGGAUGGCAUUCAUUCAAAUGCCGUCCAAUCACAGCAUCGUACUCCAGGUCGAGUAGCAGGGCCGGCAUGCAUCGGGAAUUAUUAAGUCCUCGCGAUUCCCUGUUGCGUUAACGAGCCAAAUUAACUCAAACCGAGAAGAAAAACCGUCUGCGAGAUAAACUGGAUAAAUAUUGUAUUAAUUAUUGCUGCAUUGCGUAUGCUGUUAGCCACGACGAAGUGGCUAAAAAGUUCUAAAAAGAAGCUCUAUCCUUAUAAAAUAGAAAUUGAAGACUAUUUUAAAGAUUGGUUUGGAAAAAGGAUGAGCGAAUUUGGAGUAAGAAGGAUUGUAUUUGAGCGAUAUUUCAACAAAUCAAAUAAAACAGAAACUGGAAUAGAAAGUCGUGGCAUGAAAUCAAGUAGAUCUGCUAAUUUCCUGUGGAUCAAUUUUGUAUAGUUAAUCGCAUUUUAAUUUUUGUUGCAUGGUACAAAUUGGUUUAGAAGUGUAAAUAAAGCAAUGAACAGUAUGUCGAAUUAGGUAUUAGUUAAAAUAAGGAUAUUUCUGAUAAAAUAUAAACAAAAAGCAGAGCCAAAAAUAUGUGGCUAUAUUUGAAUAGCAAAGUUACAUUAUUACAUCGAAGAAGAUAAGAAUAAGAUUCUGCAGUUUCAGUUAGACGCCGCUCUGAAAUUUAUGAAUCAAAUAGAGAGGAUCCGGCUCGACUCGCCGAGGCAACGUCUUUCUGCCGAGUGUUUUUGACACGAGGCGGUCUCUCCAAUCGAUCCAGGCUAGAAUAGCCGAACCGGAAGUGGGACGUUUAGGCUCGAUGGGAAUGACAACGAAGAGAGAGCGACUUAACUUUGGAUCACGACGGGGCCCUCUCGCUGUGAAUCACUCGAACGAAUUUCCUCGAUAAGAUAGCUAGCUCUCCUUCCAGCCGCCUAUUCUUCCAUGCGAGAAUUACUUUCGUUCAACGAAGGAGAGGCGAUUCUUCUACUUAAGAAUUAAUUGAAAGGGAAACGAAUCGUCGACGUUGAUCGAACGGGGAUCUAGAAGACAUCAGCUUCUUCCAUGAACCAUCCUGUUUCAUCUCUUUCAUAAGUUAUUAAAUAGAUAAAAAAGAAGAACGUCAAGAGAAAUUGCUAUUAUAAUUUUGAUUUCAAGUAUCAAUUUGGACAGUAACUCACUAGACCACAAUUGGUGUGGUUAGAGGCAUCAAUGAAGCAGGAUGAAGGUAGAUCCCGUUUCACGUUCAGGUUUUCUGGUGUCUACGGUUGAAACUGAUAUACUCUGAGCUGAAAGACAAUGACUUCUGUCAGAGAGUAGUAUGACAAUUGGCAGCUGAUUGCGAUCUUGCACCCCUGUUGGGAGGGAGAGGAGAAAAAAUUAGCGACGGAGGAGGCAAUCAACGUGUCUGUGAAGUAGCGUGGCCCUAGGUUUUGCGGCUGUAUCGACCUAAUAGUCCGUAGUUCGCGGCAGCUCGUAAAAUACGGCGAUUACACGACGUGAUUUCGAGGAAAACCAUAAUAGCCGACCCUGACCGUCGAGAAAUCGUCCCAUCGGAACGAACAGUUCAGAAGAUCCUCCCUUUCCAAUUUAUCGAUGCUGCAAUUCGGCUCUCCAACCUAUCCAACCUUUAGAAACUGACGAAUUUUCUAAAAGAUUUGAACGACAUUUUUGUAAAGUGCUUAGAUGAAGAAUGGGAAGCUUUUUGCAUUCUACUGAUUUCCAAUUCUAGUAACCUUGACAGACGAAUAUGAAACUGCGAGGAAGAAAUUUAAGAGGCAUUCCAUCGAUCGGAGCAUCCUGGAGAGCCUGGAAAUACCGAGUACAUCCGUUGGUGAUAGAAAGCAGCGGACUAGGGGUGGGCUCUGCUUAUCCUGGAGCCUCGAUAAGCAUCGUUUCGUAUGAGGGACUAUUUACAGCGAGGCAAGAAAUUUAAUAAAACUCGGAGAAGUCGUGGAAAACCGAUGUAGCACUAUGCAUAUGCUUCUCUGUCACUGUCGCCGUUUCUGUGGCCGGAAGAGUAGGAGAGAAGAAGAAUUUCAACGUCUGCGUGCGGAGGGUUCGACAGCCUGAGAACUAGCAGAAGAAGCCAGGACUCGUCGUACAGUGGCACAGAAUCAAUUUACCAGCCGAAUCUAUAUUUCAGUUUUUACGGCAACCUACUACGCUUUGCUGUCUGCUGUCAACAAAAUUUUCUCAAUCGUUCCCGUUAAAUUUCAUGAAUACUAUAUUGUAUUUAUCAAAUGGUAUUUGGGCGGGAAGUAAAUAUUUAAUUAUUUUGGGAAUUGGCAAAUCAGUUAUGUUAAAGAAUGUAGAUGUAAAUAGUAGCAUUGCGUAGUAAAAUUAUUUGAUAUGUAGGUUCAUUAAAUUAUUAUUUAAUCAAAAUAAUUAUCAGUAGAUUGGGUAUUUUUAUGCAUUUAUGAGAAAUUUAAAGCUAUAGAAAUUUGUAAAAUAUUUAAAAUAGGGCAUUUGUUAUUAUAUUUAAUAAGUGAAACAAAAUUUAUUCUAUUAUAAGUUAUUCAAAUAUUUUUAUGUGUCACUGUACACAAACCCAGUAACUCAGCAUAUUCUGUUGAAAUAUUUCGAUAGAUUUUAUUAAAAUAUACUAUCGUUAUUUGUAUUA
rnacentral:lncRNA from 1 species